rnacentral:rRNA from 1 species
GACGAACGCUGGCGGCGUGCCUAACACAUGCAAGUAGAACGCAGUUGCGAAAGGGAGAGUAACGCGUAGGUAACUACCUAUUAGAGGGGGAUAACUAUUGGAAACGAUAGCUAAUACCGCAUACUUGUAGAUGGACCUGCGUUGUAUUAGCUAGGAGGUUGGGUAAUGGCCUACCUAGGCAAAGAUACAUAGCCGACCUGGGAGGGGGAUCGGCCACACUGGGACUGAGAAACGGCCCAGACUCCUACGGGAGGCAGCAGUAGGGAAUCUUCGGAAAUGGGGGGAACCCUGACCGAGCAACGCCGCGUGAGUGAAGAAGGUUUUCGGAUCGUAAAGCUCUGUUGUUAAGGAAGCGGUACUUAACCAGAAAGGGACGGCUAACUACGUGCCAGCAGCCGCGGUAAUUC